rnacentral:ncRNA from 1 species
AGAAAUAGAGGCGCGGUAUUUAUAAGUAACGCGAAAAAGGCGCGGAAACGCACGCGAGAAAGGAAACACCGCCGAAGUCCGAGGAGUUUUUCCGAACGUUUCGGGCUGGGACAGCGUGAAACACGCGCUGUACUGUCGCGUAUCGCGGAGAGCUAUUCGUU